CUUUCUUUCCAUUUUACCCUUUUAUCAAUUGCACAAUGGCAUGAAUGUAUUUAAUACCACUUUAAAUUUUUUAAUUUUUUUUUUUGGUACCGGGUAUGGAACUCGGGACCUUGCACUUGCAAGGCAGGCACUGGAACCACUGAGCUAAAUCCCUGGCCCCCUUAAUGCCACUUUAAAAUGAUUAAAGUGGUAAAUUUUUAUGUUACAUGUUAUGUUACCACAAUAAAAAUGAAUGUAUAGAGCUGAAAACAAAUGUACAGAAUCAAAUGAAGUAAAAAUUACCUGGACUGGAACAGAGCAAGAUGGGGGAAGGAUAGGCUCAUAAAGGGAGAGAUAUUUGUCUUUUGGGGACUGGGCAGAGAUCCAGGAAUUCCGGUGCCCCCCUCUUUUUGCAUUCUGCAGUUUUUCAGGUCAUCUUCAUGGUAAUGACCGACUGUCACUGGGAGGUCUGUGAUUCAGCAUGCAGAUGGAAUCACAACAAAGGUAGAGGUUGUCUGGCAGUCAUCGUAGAUUCAGCUGGUUUUGCUAGCCUACCUGAAGAGGAAGUUCUGUCCUCAAAGACAAACAAGAUUACAGUAGGGUAGAAAUUCAGCAGGUCAUCAGCGCAGGAUAAGAUGGGGACAUGCUAACAGCUGAGCCCCUCCAUUGAAGGCCCUCCUUCUUGCAGGGCAGCUCAUGUCCUUGGCUACUGUAACCUGAUUCUUGCUCCUUAAGGUUUGGGGGAGUAAUAGUUUGCCUCUGUGAUUGGUUUCCAAGUGUGUCACACACCCACCCCUUUGCUUCCACGACUGUGUCCACAUCUCUGAAUUGUCUCUUCAUUCACUGGUCAACCUUCAGUUAAACAUGUUAAGACUUCAUAGUCUUUCCAUUUUUCUCAUGGAGCCCCAAGUGAUAAAAUAAUGUAUAUCAUGUACAUUAUACAUAGAAGUAUGUUUACAGUAUGCCAGAAUUGGUGCUGUAUUAGGAAGAGGGGGAGAGACAGACGGACAGAUGGACAGAGACAGAGUGUGGGAGACUGGUUAUGAGAAAUGCACUCAUUGAUUAAAGGCUGAGAAAUCCCACAAUCUGCCAUCUACAAGCCAGAGACUCAGGAAUGGUGAUGGUGUGCUUCAGCCCAAGUCCCAAGGCCCCAAAACCAGGGGAGCCAGUCAUGUAAAUCCUUGUCCAAAGGCAGAUGAGAUGAGCUGUCGAAGCUCAGGAAGGGAGCCAGAAAGCAAAGGGUGAAUUCUUCUUCCCUCCACUUCCUGUUCUAAUCUGGUCCUCGAUGAACUGGAUAAAGCCUAGUGCUGAUGGAUUGGAUGGAGCCCAACAUUCACUGAUGGAUUGGUCAAAGCCCAUCAUUAGUGGACUGGACAGAGGCCAUCACUGAUGGAUUGGACAGAGCCCGUGAUUGAUGGAUUGGAGGAGCCUGUGAUUGAUGGAUUGGUCAUAGCCCGUGACUGAUGAGUCAGAAGAGCCCAUCACAGAGCAAAAUCAUCUGCUUUACUCAGCUCAGCAGAUCAAAUGCUCAUCUCAUCUGGAAAUGCUCUAAGACACACCCAGGAAUAACAUUCAGUCUGGGCACGCUUUCCCCAGUCAGGUUGACUACUACAAUUACCCAUCCCCGGUGGGAUCAGUGUAAAGAGGCUGAAUCUUCUAGGAACACGUGUUUCUCUCUAGGGCAUUAGGAAAAGAUAAUCCACCAUUACCUUUCCUUCCAGAAGAACUUGGAGUCACAGUGAGUUCUCCACCCCGAAAGGUUUUGGUUCUGGCCAGGAUGGCACAAAAGGGACGUGAGGAUCAGCUGAGGGACAGAAAGGGUUGAACUAGAUGCGCAGCCUCCAUAAUCUGUUCUGAAAAGGACUGGGAACAGGCAAGAGACUCGGCUGCUGGCAGUGCAAGGCAAGUGAGCUUAACCUAGGGGUUCCAACAGUCACUGAGGGACGGUGGCAGUGAGGAGGCCUGUGGGGAAUCUGAAUGGGGCCGGAGGACGUGGCAGGGUGCACUGCUCUGGCUUUAUAGGGUCUGCUCCAGAAAAAAGCAGAGACAAAAUGAACAUUUUAAAGCUACAGCAGAUUUCACAAAUGGCCUAGAAAACUGAAUGGGAUAAGCCACCCAAUGGCACCCCCUGCAAGGGCAAAGGCGGCCAUGGAGGAUGCUGACCUCCCUGCACCUCUAGGCUCCAAGACUGGGGCCUGAAGCAUUCGUGUCCACCCGCUCCUCAGUUUCCUGUUCCAGACAGUGAGAAAACUGAACCCAGCGUUCUCCCGGAGACUUUCCAGUUCCCACAUCCUGUCAUCGGACAGUGCUAAGGCAUCCACAGCACCACAGUGAACACUCAGAGAUGGGCCGUCACAGCCUUGCUUCUGGGGUGCUUGCCCUGCCUCCUCUUCUCAUCUGUGAUGCUGGGCCAUGGGGGGGGCAAAGGAGACGAGUUUGGGAAGCUUGGCUGCCUGGCACCAGAAGUGCCCUCCACUUGUGUCUGAUGUUAUCUCUCACUCGGGAUUAACAAACUCACGGGGGUGAGGUUUGCACCGAGCCAGUGGAGCAAAAGCCCUUGCCAUUUUUUUCAAAGUUCUUUUUACGUGUAAGCACCAGUGCAUACAUGAAGACUGACUCUGUCACAUUUAUGUUCUAGCAGCACGAAUCCGAUGACUUCGGCAGGCCCCACGGCCAGUUCUGUGUUUGUAUGGCACCCCAUGGUAAUCCCGUGACCCCGGGAGUGCUGUCUCGAGCGCCUCUGUAUCCCGCAAUCAAGUCCACAGGGUUCCUGGGGCCCCUGGUCUGGUGCCUCCCCAGAGGGUCUUGAAGGAAGCCAACAUCUGGGGGGUCCGAGAUACCUUGCUCCACAGCCAAGGAGGGACCCAGGCUGGAGAGGCCAGGGGAAGGGUUGGGAAAUGGAAUUCCACACCCAGCAGGCGGGUGGGAAUGGCCUGGCCUUGCCAGUCCCAGGUCUAUUAGAGAGUUCAGCAGGGAAACGUCAGCAGGGGCCUCAGGACGGCCUUGCUUAUUUUUGGUAAGUGUUUGCAAUGGAGAAACUCGCAAUCAUUGAGAGGAACUGGUGCGCAUACACCAAAUGGGGAUCUUUCCUGAUCUCUGCCCUUGCGGUCCUCCUUCCCCACCUCCAAAACGUCUGCCUCUCUGAGUCGCACCAUCUCUCCUAUAUUUUACUUCUGUAAUGCAUUCACAGUUUGGAUUUCCCACAUAAGAGAAAUUGUGUGACCAUUUCGUUUUCUGCGGCUGACUGACUUCACUCACCAUGAAGGUCUCCAGAUCCGCUGCUUCUCCCGUGGAAGACUGGGAUUCAUUCUUUACGGCUGAGCCAACCACCUGUGUCUGAGCACCAGCGUUCUCCUCAGUUCACCCUCGGGCCUGCACCUCGGCUGCCGCCCGAGCUCAGCCAGCGUGAGCUGCUCGCUUUGAACACGGGUGUGCACACGACCCUGUGGUAAGAAGACCUCAACUCAAGGUGCUGGAAAACCAGGAGCAAUCCAAGCCUUGCAUUCUCUGAGGCAGACAUUUUAGGAAAAAGGGGGAAAAAAACCCCAAAAACGCUGAUGUCCUCGAGCUCUGGAAUAAACUGGGCCCAGCAAGGACAAAACAGGACACAAGGUGGUGUCAAAGCCCGGGGUGAUUGACUGAAGUCUGCCCCAUAGCGGGGCGGGGGGGGGGGCGGGGGUCCCCUGCAACCAACAACACAGGAAAGAGUUGGCAGCAGCCCCUGAAAGGCCCCCUGUGCAGGACCGGGCAGUGGGGUGAGGGCUUCACUUCCUGGCCGAUGACAGCAAGGGCCCUGACCCAGACCCCACCAUGCCCCCACCGAGGCCCUGCACCCCGAUACUGCCCAAGGCCCUGUGAACUGAUACAGGCAGAACCGGAACCUGAGCUCCGCCAGCCAGGGGCGGAGGCUGCAGCAGAGCUCACCAGCCCUGCACCUCAGCUCCCCACUCCCCCUGGCCCCCAGUUCCUGUGGUCCCCACCGUGCUCCUGCUGGAGGAGCAGGAAGUGGGUUUCUGUGGCUGGCCGUCAUCCCACACCAGGCUCGCCUGCCCGUGUCCACGCUCAGGGUCCCAGCGGGGACUCCGCCCUGGGUCACAGCAGCCCUUCCCAGGCGGGGGCGUCUGGGCACUGGGGGGGGGCAUUGUUUUUCUUCCUCCGUGAACAUUGCCAGCCCAACUGAUAACACACUGCAAUCUAGUUCUCUGUGUGUAUGUGUGUGCAUAAAAAUAAAAAUAAAGUAAAAAUGAAAAUACAAGGAUCUCAUUAGUAAAACAGAAUUACAGUAAACUGAGCCUGAGUAACUCUUGACUAAGCAAAACCAACUACGAGAAGUGCCCCAAACACUGCGGAAGCCGGAGCCCUGCGUGACUGAAAGUGGAGCGUUUCUUCCAAAGGCUUCCUUUAGAGGAAAGCGAAACUGAGCCGGGCCCACCUCACCCGCCGGCCCGGGGAAGCGCUCAGCGAAGCCGCCUUCCCCAGACAGAUGCAGCUCCCAAGUCCAGCCGAUCGCCGGCUUCUUCAUCCUGCUUUCUCUCUUGCCCCAUGAACACCGGCCUGGACAAUUUUCGUGCGAGUAUCCCACCUCUGCUGGUGGGCUUCGCACAAUUCACACGUUGGCUUUACUCACAGGAGCUCCACGUUUCCUUUGCGCUGAAGGACUCACCGGCUGAUCUCUGAUAGCAGACAAAGCCCGAAGGGGACAGCAGACGCCCUCCCGCACAGCCGGCUGCGGCCUCAGGAUGAACGCAGACCCCCAACAUGACUGUGCCAGACACCAGAGGCAUCCUGGCCACAGGCAAGGCCCCAACGGACCUCCCAAGGCCCAUAAGCAAAGCUAAGGGUUCUAUGAGCAGCUUUCCCUGGAGCCACGCAGAGUCCUCCCCAUCCAGGUUCCAAACGGCUCUCCCACCGCUGGCUUCCUGGACCUCCACCUCAGCUCAGCCUGGGCAGUCCUGCUGCUCCUCUCCCGAAGAGAAGAUGGGGGCCCACAGAGACCGCCGGCGAGAUCCCCUGGUCCUGUGCUGUGUGUGGCUCCCACUCACCACCUUGUGCGCUUCCCUGCCCUUGAGUCCUGGAGACACAAAUACAUGCAGCUAAUCACCUCUUUUUAGUCACUCGUUCACUUGACAAUAGUGCAUCGAUACAUACUUAUGGAGCAUUUGUUUGACGCAUUCGGUCUUCUACCAUGGCAGGACCUGGGGAACGCUGUAAACGUGACUUUGUCCUGGACCUCAAGGACCUUCCGGCCUCCCGAGAGCUUCAGCAGGUGUAUUCACCAGUUUUCCUCACUCUUACAAAACACCCAAUGCAGGCCAUUCAUGCAGAAAGAGGUUUAUGCCACUCAGUUUGGGAGCUUCAAAGCCGUGGUACCUCCAUUGGCUGAUACAGUAUAAAAAGUUGAGUGAAAGUUUGGGUUGCAGUUAAGGGGAAGGGGAAGGAUAGGAGGGAAAAUAAAACAUGUUACUGCAUGCGUGAAUGUGAUGAAACAAACUCAUUAUUCUGUAUCAUUAAAAUGCACUUGUAAAUUUUUUAAUUUGUGGGUGGAGUUUGAGAGUCCAUGCUGCAAAUAUAAAGAACCGAGCCCUGGAAUCUGUGCGUUGUGCUUCUCAGUAAAGAUGAGGGGCUGUUUGGGCAGUGGUGAGUGGUGAUUUUGGUGAUCCAAACUGGGGACACAGGGCGGUGCCCCUGAGCCUCAGCGGGCAGCUGUUAAGCGUUUGCAGCACACUGCUGGACCCUGC
ensembl:lncRNA